rnacentral:rRNA from 1 species
GAUUUCUGGCUCGAUACAUUUUGCCGGCCACGGUUUCGUGUGUUAGUGCUUGAUGUUCUGGCCAUCCUUCCAAUCGCUAUUCAUUCUUCUUCAUUGAGGGGUGAGUGGUAUUGGAUCUUUUACUUUGAAAAAAUUAGAGUGUUUCAAGCAGGCAUGUUUUGCUAUGAAUACAUUAGCAUGGAAUAAUAAUCUAGGACUUUCGGUUCUAUUUUGUUGGUGUUCUGGAGCUGAAGUAAUGAUUGAUAGGGAUAGUUGGGGGUGCUAGUAUUCAAUGGCCAGAGGUGAAAUUCUCGGAUUCCUUGAAGACUAACUUAUGCGAAAGCAUU